AACGAACGCUGGCGGCAGGCCUAACACAUGCAGGUCGAACGCACCACAAGGUGAGUGGCGCACGGGUGAGUAACACGUGGGAAUGUAUCCUUUGGUUCGGAAUAACGUCUGGAAACGGACGCUAAUACCGGAUGAGCCCUUAGGGGGAAAGAUUUAUCGCCAAAGGAGCAGCCCGCGUCUGAUUAGGUAGUUGGUGGGGUAAAGGCCUACCAAGCCGACGAUCAGUAGCUGGUCUGAGAGGAUGAUCAGCCACACUGUGACUGAGACACGGCCCAGACUCCUACGGGAGGCAGCAGUGGGGAAUAUUGGACAAUGGGCGCAAGCCUGAUCCAGCCAUGCCGCGUGAGUGAUGAAGGCCUUCGGGUUGUAAAGCUCUUUCGCACACGACGAUGAUGACGGUAGUGUGAGAAGAAGCCCCGGCUAACUUCGUGCCAGCCGCCGCAGUAACAC
rnacentral:rRNA from 1 species